GUUUGAGAAGAAGAUCUAAACAGUUGUGUAUGUACUGCGCCAAUCCGAAUCACACAGUUUCUGAUUGCCCCACCUUACGCAGGAAUAAACAAAAAAUGGGACCUUAGAAGACUGGAAACAGAAGCCAUCAUAGAUUCUGGAGCCUUCGGCAACUUUAUUGAUUCAACACUUGUAACCAACAAUAAAAUACCUUCUGUUAAGAAAGAAA